CACGUAGGAGGCAAACGUUAUCCGGAUUUACUGGGCGUAAAGCGCGUGUAGGUGGUUCUGUAAGUAGGGCGUGAAAGCUCCCGGCUCAACUGGGAGAGGCCGUUCUAAACUGCAGAGCUAGAGGAUGGUAGAGGGAGGUGGAAUUCCAGGUGUAGCGGUGGAAUGCGCAGAUAUCUGGAGGAACACCAGUGGCGAAGGCGGCCUCCUGGACCAUUCCUGACACUCAGACGCGAAAGCUAGGGUAGCAAACGGGAUUAGAUACCCGGGUAGU
rnacentral:rRNA from 1 species